rnacentral:rRNA from 1 species
CGGCCCAGACUCCUACGGAGGCAGCAGUGGGAAUAUGGACAAUGGGGGAACCCUGAUCCAGCCAUGCCGCGUGUGGAAGAAGGCCUUUUGGUUGUAAAGCACUUUAAGCGAGGAGGAGGCUACCUAGAUUAAUACUUUAGGAUAGUGGACGUUACUCGCAGAAUAAGCACCGGCUAACUCUGUGCCAGCAGCCGCGGUAAUACAGAGGGUGCGAGCGUUAAUCGGAUUUACUGGGCGUAAAGCGUGCGUAGGCGGCCAAUUAAGUCAAAUGUGAAAUCCCCGAGCUUAACUUGGGAAUUGCAUUCGAUACUGGUUGGCUAGAGUAUGGGAGAGGAUGGUAGAAUUCCAGGUGUAGCGGUGAAAUGCGUAGAGAUCUGGAGGAAUACCGAUGGCGAAGGCAGCCAUCUGGCCUAAUACUGACGCUGAGGUACGAAAGCAUGGGGAGCAAACAGGAUUAGAUACCCUGGUAGUCCAUGCCGUAAACGAUGUCUACUAGCCGUUGGGGCCCUUGAGGCUUUAGUGGCGCAGCUAACGCGAUAAGUAGACCGCCUGGGGAGUACGGUCGCAAGACUAAAACUCAAAUGAAUUGACGGGGGCCCGCACAAGCGGUGGAGCAUGUGGUUUAAUUCGAUGCAACGCGAAGAACCUUACCUGGCCUUGACAUACAGAGAACUUUCCAGAGAUGGAUUGGUGCCUUCGGGAACUCUGAUACAGGUGCUGCAUGGCUGUCGUCAGCUCGUGUCGUGAGAUGUUGGGUUAAGUCCCGCAACGAGCGCAACCCUUUUCCUUAUUUGCCAGCACUUCGGGUGGGAACUUUAAGGAUACUGCCAGUGACAAACUGGAGGAAGGCGGGGACGACGUCAAGUCAUCAUGGCCCUUACGGCCAGGGCUACACACGUGCUACAAUGGUCGGUACAAAGGGUUGCUACACAGCGAUGUGAUGCUAAUCUCAAAAAGCCGAUCGUAGUCCGGAUUGGAGUCUGCAACUCGACUCCAUGAAGUCGGAAUCGCUAGUAAUCGCGGAUCAGAAUGCCGCGGUGAAUACGUUCCCGGGCCUUGUACACACCGCCCGUCACACCAUGGGAGUUUGUUGCACCAGAAGUAGGUAGUCUAACCGCAAGGAGGACGCUUACC